AUACGUAGGGAGCGGGCGUUGUCCGGAAUUACUGGGUGUAAAGGGAGCGUAGGCGGGAGUGCAAGUCAGAUGUGAAAUACAUGGGCUCAACCCAUGGGCUGCAUUUGAAACUGCAUUUCUUGAGUGAAGUAGAGGUAAGCGGAAUUCCUGGUGUAGCGGUGAAAUGCGUAGAUAUCAGGAGGAACACCGGUGGCGAAGGCGGCUUACUGGGCGUUUACUGACGCUGAGGCUCGAAAGCGUGGGGAGCAAACAGGAUUAGAUACCCUGGUAGUCCACGCUGUAAACGAUGAUUACUAGGUGUGGGGGGACUGACCCCUUCCGUGCCGCAGUUAACACAAUAAGUAAUCCACCUGGGGAGUACGGCCGCAAGGUUGAAACUCAAAUGAAUUGACGGGG
rnacentral:rRNA from 1 species